rnacentral:rRNA from 1 species
AUUGAACGCUGGCGGCAGGCCUAAAACAUGCAAGUCGAGAGAGCGGCGGACGGGUGAGUAAUGUCUGGGAAACUGCAUGAUGGAGGGGGAUAACUACUGGCAACGGUAGCUAAUACCGCAUAACAUCAGAUGUGCCCAGCUGGGAUUAGCUAGUCGGUGGGGUAACGGCUCACCUAGGCGACGAUCCCUAGCUGGUCUGAGAGGAUGACCAGCCACACUGGAACUGAGACACGGUCCAGACUCCGACGGGAGGCAGCAGUGGUGAAUAUUGCACAAUGGGCGCAAGCCUGUUGCAGCCAUGCCGCGUGUGUGAAGAAGGCCUUCGGGUUGUAAAGGACUUUUGUCAGGGAAGCGGUACCUGAAGAAUAAGCACCGGCUAACUACGUGCCAGCAGCCGCGGUAAUUC